GCUUGUCUCAAAGAUUAAGCCAUGCAUGUCUAAGUGUAAAUACGUCUACACUGUGAAACUGCGAAUGGCUCAUUAAAUCAGUUAUCGUUUAUUUGAUGAUCUCUUGUUACAUGGAUAACCGUAGUAAUUCUAGAGCUAAUACAUGCGUCAAGCCCCGACUCACGAAGGGGUGUAUUUAUUAGAUACAGAACCAGCCCAGGCUCUGCCUGGUCUUGUGGUGAUUCAUAAUAACCGAACGAAUCGUAUGGCAUCAGCUGGCGAUGAAUCAUUCAAGUUUCUGACCUAUCAGCUUCCGACGGUAGGGUAUUGGCCUACCGUGGCAAUGACGGGUAACGGAGAAUUAGGGUUCGAUUCCGGAGAGGGAGCCUGAGAAACGGCUACCACAUCUAAGGAAGGCAGCAGG
rnacentral:rRNA from 1 species